rnacentral:rRNA from 1 species
GAUGAACGCUGGCGGCGCGCCUAACACAUGCAAGUCGAACGGUUAAAGCACCUUUUAGGUGUGUAUAAAGUGGCGAACGGCUGAGUAACACGUGGGCAACCUGCCCUCCUCUUGGGGAUAGCCUCGGGAAACCGAGGAUAAUACCCGAUACUUCAAUGUGGCCGCAUGACGACAUUGAGAAAGCUUUUGCGGAGAAGGAUGGGCCCGCGGCCUGUUAGCUUGUUGGUGGGGUAGAGGCCUACCAAGGCAAUGAUGGGUAGCUGGGUUGAGAGACCGACCAGCCAGAUUGGGACUGAGACACGGCCCAGACUCCUACGGGAGGCAGCAGUGGGGAAUCUUGCACAAGGGGCGAAAGCCUGAUGCAGCGACGCCGCGUGCGGGACGAAGGCCUUCGGGUUGUAAACCGCUUUCAGCAGGGACGAGGCGAUAAGUGACGGUACCUGCAGAAGAAGCCCCGGCUAACUACGUG